rnacentral:lncRNA from 1 species
CUUAGCCUCCCAAAGUGCUGGGAUUACAGGUGUGAGCGCCUGACCUUUUGCCAUCUCUUUGCAUCGAUCUUUGCUUUUGUUUCUCUCUGUGUGUCUCCUUGCCUCUCUCCCUGUCACUGUCUCUCUCUCUCCCCUGCCUCCCUCUUGGUCUCUUUUUUUUGCUGUCUCUUUCUGAUGACCUUGUUCCCAUCUCUGUGCGUGUGUGGCUCUCUCCCUGUCCAUCUCUUACCAUCUCUGCCUUCCUCUCCCAGGUCUUAAACGAAUAUUUCCACAAUGUCUGUGAACUGGACCUGGUGUUCAACUUCUACAAGGUGGAAUGUUUCCCACUUAAGAGCCCAGUGGUCCCGGAAAGUAAAGAGAUCGGAAGUCAGGUGGACGGACAGAGUCGGAUGGAGCAAAGAAGCCCGGCACACACCAACAGAGAGAACGACAUAGCGCGGGAAGGAGGGUCCGAGGAGACACAUUCCAAACCCGGAAAGGGAAAUUUGGAAUUUAGGUUUAGGGUAAGGAGAGAUUAAAUAGAGCUGGGAUACCGGGUUUCUACCCUGGGAGAUGAAUACGCUCAAGCUGGCUGGACAAGACACCUUAUGACAAUACAGUGAACG